rnacentral:rRNA from 1 species
UACGUAGGGUGCGAGCGUUGUCCGGAAUUAUUGGGCGUAAAGGGCUCGUAGGCGGUCUGUCGCGUCGGGAGUGAAAACUCAGGGCUUAACCCUGAGCCUGCUUCCGAUACGGGCAGACUAGAGGUAUGCAGGGGAGAACGGAAUUCCUGGUGUAGCGGUGAAAUGCGCAGAUAUCAGGAGGAACACCGGUGGCGAAGGCGGUUCUCUGGGCAUUACCUGACGCUGAGGAGCGAAAGUGUGGGGAGCAAACGGG